rnacentral:rRNA from 1 species
AAUAUUGGUCAAUGGGCGCGAGCCUGAACCAGCCAAGUAGCGUGAGGGAUGACGGCCCUACGGGUUGUAAACCUCUUUUGCGCGGGGAUAAACUGGGCCACGUGUGGCUUUUUGCAGGUACCGUAUGAAUAAGGACCGGCUAAUUCCGUGCCAGCAGCCGCGGUAAUACGGAAGGUCCGGGCGUUAUCCGGAUUUAUUGGGUUUAAAGGGAGCGCAGGCGGGUUGUUAAGCGUGACGUGAAAUGUAGCCGCUCAACGGCUGAACUGCGUCGCGAACUGGCAGUCUUGAGUGAGUACGACGUCAGCGGAAUUCGUGGUGUAGCGGUGAAAUGCUUAGAUAUCACGAAGAACCCCGAUUGCGAAGGCAGCUGACGAGUCCUUUACUGACGCUAAAGCUCGAAGGUGCGGGUAUCGAAC